ensembl:lncRNA
GGGGGACAGGCCAUGAAGAAGAAGACUGUCCCUCCCUUCGUCACUACCUUGGCUGAUCUCCCCACUCCGACUACUUGGAGCAGAAGAGCAGAUGUAAAGGCCUUGGGCAGGCUUUGAUAUUUCAGCUGUUCGUCUGCUAUGACCUGGACUAUGUCUAACAGACCUAGACUAGAGGUCAAUGGGAAUCAGAGGAGAAGGGACGGGUGAAAGAAAAAUGAAGGAACAAAAGAAACGAAAGACAGAACGACAGAGGCCCAUGUCCGAAUAUCCAUACUUGCAUUCUAAAUAGUAGACAUUUAAGGAACGGCGUGUUUGACAACAACUGAUAAUCAGCUGAUAAUGAGAAAAGGACAAAUCUGAGGGGGCACGUGCCACUGUGCCUCUUAUGGGCGUGAUGCCUCUGGCAGGGAUCAACGCCAUUAAACAGGAGAUGACACAUUCUCAGGAUGGUGGAGCCUAGUAUGUUGAUAUUUCUUGCCUACCGUAUUCGUUUUACCAAACAGUAUGCUUGAAAUUGUAUGCAGUAUGGUUUGUAAACAGCAUGUAGAAAUAAAAGAGAAAGAAAGAACAAACAAAUGAAAGAAAGAAAGAACAACCAAAGAAAGAAUGUUGAAGAUACCCUCCUCCCUCUCUCACUAGUCGCACCCCUGUGACGGCAGCAUCGGGAGAGAUUUAGGAGACACAGGACGCAUAGCGGCCUCAUUACGGACACCUUUGUCCAGUAUUGUGUUCUAUUACCUCUCCCUCCCCAGCAUUAAAACCAUUAGAAGCACCUAUAUCCUGCCACAGUCCGUAUUGGAACAUUACAUAUGCACACCUCUGUAGGACAGCGCUUUAAUGAGGAUGAAGGGAGACUAAUAGAGUUUCUUCUGUCCCCUUUUUAUGACAUAAAGUAUGGGCAAUAAUGAGCUGGGGGAGUGGAGACAGGGAAACAGCUCCCCUCAUCCCCGAGUCAAAGCCAACGUUUAUGAGAAGACUACAAGUAUGGCACAAUGAGAAAACUGAGGGUCUGAAAGCAUGUGAAUACCGAUAAAUAAAAGGUUGAGAAUGUCUCGAAAAUCUUCACCUGCCCUGUACAAAUGAUACACAGAAUUAUUUAGAGUAGGGUGGGUACAUGCUACUCACUCAAAGUGGUCGAGGGCUAAUCCUCAAAAUUCGGCUUAGUGUUCAAGCUCAACGAUUUCAAAAGACCAGUGAAAGCAAAACUUUGAGUGUGAGUGUGAGUGUGAGGUCAGAGCCAGUAUGCAGUGUAGUGACCGGCAGGGGAUGUUAAAACUGACUGUAGUCCAGAUACAACAGCUCCCUCUGCAGUCUCACCCCCUCUGAUUGAAAAUAUGCAAUAGAGAUACAUUUGCAAUGUAGAAUAUUUUCCAGUUCAUUUAAAAAAUAGUAUCAAUAAUAAAUAGAGAGCUCAAGAUCUAUUGUCUCAUAAAAUCAGUGGCCAGAACAAUGAUAAUACCAAAGCACACUAUAAGGUUAGCAGUUAAAGAAUAGACCACAGGGCAAUACCGCAGCAAUGGUAUUGUAUAAAUCCCUACAAGACAUACAAUUCUAUUCAACAAUCCUACAACUGUAAAUCAAGUGAAAUGGGAUGUACAUCCAUGGGACCAAUCUGAUAUCCUGACGGAGAAUCCAACAGCGUUUUAACUCUGCUACUUCACAUGACCGCUUACAAUGCUUUUCUGAAAACAUUCUUUUUCUUCUCAUUUGAAGUAGUACAGCUAAGCUCAAAUUUCUCUCCUCCCUUCAAGCGCAAAAUACAAAAAGCCUAGGCUGCCACUACCUGAUUCAAUCAUGUGUGCUACAAUGUAUACCCGUGGGCUACAGGGCGACUUGUAUUUGAAUGAAUAAUGUGAUACCCUUUUCUCAAUGGUUUAGGUUUGUGGUGUUCUGAGCUGCCUGUACUUUUUUUCUUCUUCUUGUAAACACUUUGAAGAAAACCCAAAUAUAUGCCAGGAAGCACAUUCUCCCUCAUGCAACUUGUAUGUGAUCUACAUUUUAACACCUUGUGCCCCCGACUCUUUUGUGACUAAAAGACGUAUCAGCAAACCGGAAGUCGUUUCUUUAACAGCAAAUUGUGUUCGCCUGUAAACUGACAACGGCGAUGAAUGAAAAUGCAAAAAGGUACAUUUGUCGAACAAUAUGCAGGCAUUCAGCGGCAAAGCCCAAGGAAAUGUUCCGUGGGAGGAAGAGGAGGGCGAGAAGAAGAAGUAGAAGGAGCAGAAGAAGAACAAGAAUAAUGGAAGGACCUAAAGGAAGGAUUUUUUUUUUUAAAGCAAGAAAAAGAAGGGUGGUGGAGGAGAAAAAGCCUAAGUACAGUACAUGCCAUAUACUACAUGGUGUGACUAACUUCAUGUUUGAGGCUAUUACCACAGAGACUUGGCUGUGGGUGCCAAGAUUUGAGGAAUAACAAGCACAGUGAAGGGUGAAAAAGCACGCUCGUGUGGAGAAGCUGACCCAGGAAGGAGCUCUGGGGGAACCCUGGGGGUUUAUGGGAGAUGGAGUGUAUUCAACCUUUCUCUCUCUUUCUCCAGUCUCACAGUACACCCACAACGGAUGUGACUUGUUUUACUGCUGAAGGAAUGACUCAUUUCAUAUCCUCUUAUCAAUGCAUGUGUGAUAAUGGGGAAAAUAUGCAGUAACCUACGAGUACAAAACGAUACAGACAAGGCGUUAAGACAGCGUGUGAAAAUAGAUGACGUUCUGUAACUUGAAUACAGGUAUUUGACUUUGAACAUGGCAUGCUCUCCUGCUCUCCACGUGAAAUAUCAAACAUUCUGUUCCUUACAGACCAAUAUCGGUUGAAGGAUACAGUUAUAACAUAGAAACAGAGCUCGUGUUAUAAUACAUCCGGAUGAGAAAUUCUAAAUUAUUUUUGAAAUCGUUCUUAUUUUCAACCCAAUCUGUGACAAAACAUUUUCAUUACCUUGGAUGAGCACGGCUCCCAGAGAAUCUAACGUGAUUAUUCCUGCCCUGGGAGAAGGGCUGUCUCCCUGCGCUCUGUCAAAAGGUCAAUUAUGGCCCCAAACCCCCAUGCAGUGACACUGACCUGGAAAGAGUACUGAUGACCCCACAUCCAGGAGCCCAAAAGAGUUGAUCAUCUAACAUGCACGCUGCCUGCAGCCAUGGAAAUCUGACAUUUGUCCUUAUUCAAAUGAACACAAACAAUAUGCAUCUCAGGCCUUUCCCUAACCUGUGCCAAACACAAGACAUGAGGACCAGCAAUCUGUUUCGCAAUGUCCUCCAUACAUGUUCUAGUCUUUCCUUCCGAAUAAAACCAACCCAUGCAAUCACACUGAUACAGACGAUACAUGGUGCCCGUUUUUACACUUUAGAUAUUAGGUUCUGGUUGGAUUUGCUUACAUCAGACAAUGUUAUGAGCAGGAUUGAAUAAGUAUUGAGUGCAACGUUAUUUUCACGUUAAUGUGGUAGCCUAUAAUAUACUACUAAUGGAAUGCACACUUGCAAGCACAGCACUCUCACGCUGUGGUGGGCUAAGUAUUGUACAGUACCACAUUUAGCUGGUAAUAAUGAAACAGAUAUAGUAGAGAGUGCUGGUGCCAUAAUACAGGUUUACACACAGUACAUUCCCUCUGAAUUGCGUUUGCCCGGAGCAUUACCUUCCACUGUAAAUUUUUAUCCAUGUAGACUUUCCAUCUCAUGCUGUUUGGUCUCUGUGCUGAAGGUAAAGGGGCGGCUGAUGACCGUAUGACACAGAGCAAGGGCUCUCAUGUCUUCAGGGCGUUUCACAGAGCAUGAUCAUGAAAUGCAGAAACAUGGAGCAGACGGUAAAAGGUUGAGCACGGGACCCAUAUUUCUCCGGGCACGUCAGUUAAUUUCCUUUCCUUUUUGUUCCACAUCACUUUUCUAUUAUGCUUUGGCCACAUUGGCAACAUCGUACAAAUCAUUAUUUUGCUCACAAAAUCUAAUCAUUACCCUCAAACGGAAAAAUGGAUAGCCAGUGAGGGGAAUGUGGGGGAAUUGUUAUUUUUCACAUUCUAAUUCACAUCACAAGGAACCCAAAAGAAACACAUAUAUCAGAUUGGUUUGGCGCCUUUCGCCCGCAGCGAUGCAGGACACACUGAUAUUAGUUUUAAAUACAGAUUGCUGGCAAUAACACAGCAGAGGGGUCCCUGUCUGGUACACAAACCACAGCCAGGAUUGCUUCACAUAGCCGCCUCUCUGUAAGUGAGACACCUUCAAUCAAAAAGCUCAAAUAAAUGUCGUUCUUUGGCUCUGUCAACUGUAAACUGUUAUUGAUCCCAACAAAUUAAAUUUGUUCACGCUGAUCGAUCAAACACAUUAUCUGUUAUUUUUUUCUUCAGUCUAUUACCAGCAAUUGGAAACUCAAGAGGCAUCAAUAAAUACAGCCGGGUCACCCAGGAUAGAUUCUCUAUGCAGCCAGAGGCCUGUAAAAACAGUAGACCAAACCUAAGCACUUGUACUUAAAAGGUAAUGGACCUGUAUCGUGACUAAACGUUAAGUGCCUUGAGGUAAGAUACAGGACGGAGCUUUGUGG